rnacentral:lncRNA from 1 species
AUCUAUCUCUUAUCAAGUUCUAGGCGUAAACCUAUCAAAUUUUAUAUCUAACAAGUGUUAUUGCUUUGCUACCAAGGUUGUUCUGACCGUGUCUUGGCCUUGACUUAGAUGAAAAAGAGUCAGUUCUUUGGUGUCAUGCCUAGCUACAGUUGGUUGUUUUGUAAGUUGCAAGGUAUCUCAUAAGGCACAUGAACAGAUAUCCAUGGUAUUAAUUUGGAUCUCCAUGCCGCGGGGUAGAAAGGACAGAAAGGAGCAGCAGGAUAGCCGGUCCAAUAUUGAGCAGAUUCUGUCUUGGGGAUCACUACCUCGGUGCAAGCAUCCUCUUCCCCACGCCUCCUGAUUUGGUCAUUGCGGUUAAGAGGUAUAAUACUAUAAUCAUGCCCGAUUGGAUAAGAAUCCAAUGUUUCAUGCAAUUUCUUUGAGUUGAUUUCCUCUGCAGAAGAAUUUAUGUGCAGGCUGUCCUCACUAGGAGGGAAAUUUGAUCAUGUGUGCUGUCAGUAGGUCUUCCAGAACUAAUUGUUUUUUGUAUAAAAAAUCAGGAGCUUCAACCGAUUCGCUCGCAUGGCAAGCGACUAGCUCUAGCAAGAUGGGUUCUAUUUCAAUUACAGCUUAGAGAUAACGUUUUCUGGAACUAAACGCUUAUGUUAUUUGGAUUGCCUCAGACAGAUGAUUAGGUUGUCUCUUAGUUUUUUUCAAGUUAUAUAAGUGCCUAUUGAAUAGUUCUUUGUGUCGGACCCUUAGUGUAUGUAGUUGUUUUUUUCAUAUUGGCAUUUAAGCACCUAUAUACAAGCACUCUGCAUAUUAGAGAUGGUCUAACAUGAUGUAGUUUUACAGUUGCAAUGAAAUAAAUGAGAAAAUAGCCGUUGUUCGGCAGGAAACCUGGAGUCAGCAUCUAGCACCCUGCAUUGCAAACCAUCGGUUUGUGGUCACUUUGGUAUCCCGGUGGUGAAAAUUGGAGCAUAUAUACUCUACAGCCAAUCAAAUCAUUUAUAAGUAUGACAUGAACCAUAGAAAGGUAACUGAAUUUGAUCUGACUUUGGUUUAGGUCCAAAUAUAACAACCUUACAUUGGUAAGCGCAUUCGAAAUUGUGAACUAAAAUUAUGCUUAACAUGAGAGGAAAUCAAGUUUUUUGCUACGGUAUGGUUAACAGUAGCAGCAUAUCAAGUAUAACAGUGGACUGCACUAUUGUUUGUUC